UACGUAGGUGGCAAGCGUUGUCCGGAAUUAUUGGGCGUAAAGCGCGCGCAGGCGGUCCUUUAAGUCUGAUGUGAAAGCCCACGGCUCAACCGUGGAGGGUCAUUGGAAACUGGGGGACUUGAGUGCAGAAGAGGAAAGCGGAAUUCCACGUGUAGCGGUGAAAUGCGUAGAGAUGUGGAGGAACACCAGUGGCGAAGGCGGCUUUCUGGUUUGUAACUGACGCUGAGGCGCGAAAGCGUGGGGAGCAAACAGG
rnacentral:rRNA from 1 species